AUUGAACGCUGGCGGCAGGCUUAACACAUGCAAGUCGAGCGGGGUGAUGGUGCUUGCACUAUCACUUAGCGGCGGACGGGUGAGUAAUGCUUAGGAAUCUGCCUAUUAGUGGGGGACAACAUCUCGAAAGGGAUGCUAAUACCGCAUACGUCCUACGGGAGAAAGCAGGGGAUCACUUGUGACCUUGCGCUAAUAGAUGAGCCUAAGUCGGAUUAGCUAGUUUGUGGGGUAAAGAACCACCAAGGCGACGGUCUGUAGCGGGUCUGAGAGGAUGAUCCGCCACAAUGGGACUGAGACACGGCCCAGACUCCUACGGGAGGCAGCAGUGGGGAAUAUUGGACAAUGGGGGGAACCCUGAUCCAGCCAUGCCGCGUGUGUGAAGAAGGCCUUAUGGUUGUAAAGCACUUUAAGCGAGGAGGAGGCUCUUUUGGUUAAUACCCAAGAUGAGUGGACGUUACUCGCAGAAUAAGCACCGGCUAACUCUGUGCCAGCAGCCGCGGUAA
rnacentral:rRNA from 1 species